rnacentral:misc_RNA from 1 species
GACCCACACAGCAUAGCUGAAAGGGUACGCUUCUUACUCCAAAAUUUGGUUGUUUCUGUUGCUGAGAGAGUAUGCUAGAGUUGUACGUUAUCUGUAAUUAAAAUCUCUUUCCUUCUUUGUGCUUUCUUUGUUAUCUCUCGCGUUUUCUGGACAACCAAACGAAUUAGUGGGUUCCAUUCUGAUUUCUAAUAUAUCUUUUUCUCUGGACAGUUACGAAGGGAGAGAAUUGC